CCUACGGGUGGCAGCAGUGAGGAAUAUUGGUCAAUGGCCGAAAGGCUGAAGCAGCCAAGGCGCGGGAAGGAAGAAGGAGCUAUGGUUUGUAAACUUCUUUUAUAGGGGAAUAAAGGUAUCCACGUGUGGAUAGUUGCAUGUACCCUAUGAAUAAGCAGCGGCUAACUCCGUGCCAGCAGCCGCGGUAAUACGGAGGACGCGAGCGUUAUCCGGAUUUAGUGGGUUUAAAGGGUGCGUAGGUUUUUUUUUAAGUCAGCGGUGAAAGUUUGUGGCUCAACCAUAAAAUUGCCGUUGAGACUGGCAGCCUUGAGUGUGUUUGAGGUAGGCGGAAUGCUUGGUGUAUCGG
rnacentral:rRNA from 1 species